rnacentral:rRNA from 1 species
UACGUAGGGUGCGAGCGUUGCCCGGAUUUAUUGGGCGUAAAGGGCGCGUAGGCGGCUCGGCACGGUCCGUUGUGAAAUCGCCCGGCUCAACUGGGCGGGGUCAGCGGAUACGGUCGAGCUUGAGCAAGCUAGGGGGUAAUGGAAUUCCCGGUGUAGUGGUGGAAUGCGUAGAUAUCGGGGAGGAACACCAGUGGCGAAGGCGGU